rnacentral:rRNA from 1 species
AUUGAACGCUGGCGGCAUGCCUAACACAUGCAAGUCGAACGAGUGGCGGACGGGUGAGUAAUGUAUGGGAACCUGCCUGAUGGCGGGGGAUAACUACUGGAAACGGUAGCUAAUACCGCAUACCAUCAGAGGGGCCCAGAUGGGAUUAGCUUGUUGGUGGGGUAACGGCUCACCAAGGCGACGAUCCGUAGCUGGUCUGAGAGGAUGACCAGCCACACUGGGACUGAGACACGGCCCAGACUCCUACGGGAGGCAGCAGUGGGGAAUAUUGGACAAUGGGCGAAAGCCUGAUGCAGCCAUGCCGCGUGUAUGAAGAAGGCCUUCGGGUUGUAAAGUACUUUAAGUUGGGAGGCGUUACCUACAGAAUAAGCACCGGCUAACUUCGUGCCAGCAGCCGCGGUAAUUC